GACGAACGCUGGCGGCGUGCUUAACACAUGCAAGUCGAACGGAAAGGCCCUCCUUUUUUGGGUUUCCGGAUUGCGAAUCGGGUAAGUACCACGUAUUUAUCCUCCCCUUACUUUUGGUUUACCUUAAGGAACUUGGGCUUAUUCCCGUAUAGCACCCCCUCUUCCUGGUUGGGGUUUGGAAGUUUUCGCCGUUUGGGGUUGGAUUCGCGGCUUUUCAGUUUGUUGGUGGGGUGGUGGCUUACCAAGGCUUGGACGGGUAGCCGGCAUGAGAGGGUGAACGGGCACAUUGGGACUACGAUACGGACCAGAGUCCAACGGGAGGCAGCAGUGGGGAAUAUUGCACAAUGGGCGGAAGCCUGAGGCAGCAACGCCGCGUGCGGGAUGACGGCCUUCGGGUUGUAAACCGCUUUCGCCUGUGACGAAGCGUGAGUGACGGUAAUGGGUAAAGAAGCACCGGCUAACUACGUG
rnacentral:rRNA from 1 species